GGGGUAACGAGAAGAUUAAAAGAGGGAAGCAGAGGAGUUGGGAGCUGGCGGUCGUUCCCGGGGAAGAACUGCUAAAAGAUGAGACCAAGGCACAGACCUUACUGUAUGAGAAGCAAUGCUCCUCAAACCUUCUGCGUCCUGACAUAGACCUUCCCAGAAGCAAAACUGUUGGCCGCGACCUGAGCGCUGGAAGCCGAAGGGGAAGAGGAAGGAGACGCGAAGCCAAGGCGGCCGGCACAAAGGCGGCGGACUCGCGGCGGCAGCGCCUGCCCGGCCGGGAGCACAGCCCGCGGCCCUACUCCAGCGAAGUCCUGCACCGGCUUCUAGGAAUAAAGUUUACGUUCUCCUGAGGCCGCACCCCCCACCUCCCACCCAGGACGGCACAUCUCCGCGGCCUCCUCCCCCAAACUCCACUGGGACCCCGAGAACCACCCCAGCCUUCCGGCCACCACAACAAAGAGCCGCACCGACCGGCGAGGGUAAACAGCGGCGGAGGGCGAGAGGGCGGCGGGGCGAGCGCCUCCACGCAGCAACUCCGGAGUCCCCCGCUUGCCCGAGCGCAGUUUCUCCGCUGCUGUUUCCACCAGCUUUGUAACACUGGGAAUUUACAUCCUCACCCGCACCCCUCACGCCCGAGGAUUUUAAACUCACCUUUACUUUCGAACUGAGAGUUGCGGUAGAUGGGAUUUUUGCCUUUUCCCCAGAUGGUUGAAGGUUAAGAUUUUUGGAAACCCCACCACCUCCUUAUUUCUAUUAUUAUUUCUGCAAGAAAAGUAUAAAGAGAGUUGUAGUGGAGGUGAGAUUUGUGAUCGGGAAAGCCCUCGACUCCCUCCUUCUCCGUCUUCCGCCUCUCUCUCUCUGAUUAGUUCCUAUCCAGCAGCAGAUUGAAGCAGGAGAUGAUUCUUCUCAAGGUUUGUUCAGCAGCUUCACUUCUAGGCGAAGGCUUCAUGAACCAAGUGACGUCAACCAACAAGGCUUCUCUCUCUCUCCUCUCUCUAACAAUGAAAGUUGCUGUUAACAAGGGAAAAAAAGAGAGAGAAUUGUUUAUACCAUUUCAGUUCCAAUAAUAAAUGACCUAUCAGCUCCUAAAGGAGCUAAGGGAGGGGGUUGCUGCUUCUUUCCAAGAAUACUGUAGCUUUGAGUUUGCACCGUUCCUUGUCCUAGGAAAAAGUUAAGAAACUUAAAAUGUUUUGUUUUGCUUUUAAAGAAGACAGGACAGAAAAUGGGACUUAAAACUUAGUUUUUUAAAAACAAAAGCUACAGAGUAGGGAGCAUAGGUCAACUACCAUCUCCACCUAAACUUUUUUUUGUUCCUAAACUCAGAAUUCUACAAACCAAAUAAAUUAAUAUGCCGAGAUUUCGCGGAUGUUAAAACUCAAAAAGCAGGAUGCAAGACGGUCCCGGGGUAAAAUUCUACUGCCUUUCUACGAACAAGUUAAACUGGCUGUAAUGUUUACGCACUAAGUUAAAAUAAAAUUUAAAUAAAAGACGUUAAAAUAGUCAAUUGCUUUAAAGUUACAAGCACACACUGUAAAAGUUAAUCUCGAUAGCUUUUUUUCCAGUUUCUGAGAGGUUAGAAAAAAGCAUAGCAAAUUGUAGGCACUGAACACUUUUUAAAAAUCAAGUUAUGAGUAAGACUGGUAGCCUUUUGCUCCUUUAAACUACACACGCAGUCAUAUGCUAUGUGUCUACCCCCAGAAUGUCUUCCAACUGUUUUUACCCUUCCACUCCCCCAACCCCAAUUCCCAAAUCCUGCAACCAAUCAAGUUAAACUAAAGAUACAAUAAUCUUUAGUUAUUGGUAGUAAUGGGUGCCCCAUUCCCUCCCGCACCCCAUCCUAUAGAUUCCUAAAAAAAAAACAAUUUUUUUGAAAGCCUUAAUCUUGAUAACACUUUAUUAGCCAAGAAGAUACGUUUUUUUUUUUUAUAAGUUCGCUGAGGUACCGUUUUUUCCCUCCAGAACACAAGAAACUCUCAAAGUUCAUAUAACUAAAAAUUGCCUAAUUUAAUUUUCAGGAUGAAGAGUAAGUAAAAAUUAAGCUAUCGGAGAAUAAUUUGAUCAUCUAUGUAUAUUUUAUACAUUUGUGGAUAGAUGUAUCUUAAAAGAUGCUAUUGUUUUAUGUUUCCUCUUCAGCCACUGGCUGUGAUUUUAAUUGUGCUGGAGGAUCUUCAUUAGUAUUAACACAUGGGGAGAUUUCACAAAGCUGCUUCAUUAGGAAAAAAAAAAGCUUGGCAGACUAGGUCUUUUUGCAUGCACUGAGAAUGUCA